rnacentral:tRNA from 1 species
UGUCCAGGGAUGGGAAUCGAACCCACAGUGUUCCGUUUACCUGGCAGAUGCCAUGUCCACUAGGUUACCGUGGGC